rnacentral:ncRNA from 1 species
AAUCAUGUGUGGUCUUUUGGGACUCACUGUUUUUGUUACCAACGCCAACGCAGGACGUGUUCAAGCUUCUACAACUGGAGUGAGUUCACUCUGAGUCCUUUAAGUAGGAUCCAUUGGAGGGCAAGUGCUGCCAGGAGCCACCCCAGCUCCACCUGCAAGAACAUCUACUAAUGUUGCUGCAGUUAAAAGUCUCCUAGAUGGAUCUUGGCCAUGGGCCAGGUCCCCACUGCAAGGCCAGGCCAGCCACUGCUAUCCUUGACCUUUGCCUCAGCUGACUCUUUGAUGCUUAGCUGAGCGCUUCCUGGGGCCCUCAAACAUUUACUUAACAAACUUAGAUGACUCAAAGCAAGUCAGAAUUUUCCGGAUAAAGUGUGAGAGAAUUGUGGGCUAGGACCAUAGUUCUGUCUCUGGUUUCUGGUACUGAGGCCAUGAGUAAGAGGGAGGUCAAGGGCAAGCAGUGUGCCACCAGAGUGAAGUUCUUGGAUGAGCACAAAUGGACCAGGGUCAGAGUGAAAGCUUUCAGUAGUCAAGAAUGAAAGUUGGGGUUUUGAAUGCAAUCACAUAUGAUCGUAGUUCUAGCCAUAAACCUGUGACUCAUUUAAAGUCCAUUCAUGUUACUUCAGGAAUUAGUA